rnacentral:rRNA from 1 species
AGAGUUUGAUCCUGGCUCAGAAUGAACGCUGGCGGCGUGCCUAACACAUGCAAGUCGGAUGUGCCGCAAGGUGCAUGGCAGACGGGUGAGUAACGCGUAGGGAAUCUACCUUUUUGUGGGGAAUAACGCUCCGAAAGGAGUGGUAAUACCGCAUGAGACCGCAGACUGGGAUGUUUGUGGUGAAACCUGGGGACCGCAAGGCCUGGGGCAAGAAGAGGAUCCUGCGUCUGAUUAGCUAGUUGGCGGGGUAAUGGCCCACCAAGGCGACGAUCAGUAGCCGGCCUGAGAGGGUGAUCGGCCACACUGGAACUGAGACACGGUCCAGACUCCUACGGGAGGCAGCAGUGGGGAAUUUUGCGCAAUGGACGAGAGUCUGACGCAGCAACGCCGCGUGGGUGAUGAAGGUCUUCGGACUGU